ACCAUCCUUUUCUUGGGGUAGCGCUACUGUCCAAUGAAUGAGUAGUGAGGGCAGCACUGCUAAUGCCUACACAACGCGCCCGAAUCAACUAGAGCUUUGCUUUAAUUUGGUGCAAUUUUUGGAAAA
ensembl:snRNA